rnacentral:lncRNA from 1 species
UAGAAUGAAAAUGAUAUAUUGAUUCAAUGGAACAAUCAGUUACAUUACAAUGGAAGUAUCAUCAAUUAGGAGUACAUCACUUCCUUCGAAAAAUAAAAUAAAACAAAAUAUAAAAUUUCUAAACAUUCAGAGAAUUGUCUUGUUUUUCCUCCAAGUACCAAGAACCAUCAUACGUUCUCCAAGAUCCAAGUAAUCAUCUUGUAUUGAAAUUCUCACCUACAAAGAAAAAUCAUAAUACUAUUUAGGCAUAAAUUCUAAAUGAAGUUUAAAAAUAAACAUAAUAUGUAUUGUACAUAAAAGGAUCCACAUAAAAAUUACAAAGUGUGAAAGAAAAGAUUGUUGGGGAAGAAGAAAUAAUCUUAUGUAUGUAUAACUAAUGACUUAGUAGGAGGACAUGUUAAAACACUGAUUAUCUUUAACCAAUCCAGUGUGCAUGUUCACUGCGAACAGCCAGCGGCAUGUAUUCACCACUAACAAUUAUCCAUAGAUUAUAUUAUAUCAAGAAUGAUAUGCAUUCAACAACCAACUAAAUGGUGAGUAGGCAAGCAAUAAUAUCGACUAUACAAAAUUGGAUAUUUCCGUUUUCUAAUGGUCUCAACACUAACUAGUUUAGUGUCACGAUUACCCACAUACUGCUCAUGCUUGCUAUGACGUAUUAGGAGAAAAGAACUCAAUGCCAACAGCUCAAAGUCAUUAACUAACCUACAUCACAAAAAAUUUCGUAGUUACCAGAGAACUACAAUGUCACAUUAUAAUUUCUCAAUCAAGAUUCAAGAAUAAGACUCUUAGAACUAGUAGAAGAAACAACAUGAAAAAGAAACACUUCUUUAGAUUUGGUCUUUUCUAGGGAAAAGUAGUGGAGUUUUGUUUCUAGAGAAGGUAGGAUCCAAGGUGUUUACAGGGAAAAAAUAAUAAUUUAAUGUGGCAAUAUUUAAUUUUUCAAGACCAACCUAUCAAUAAGCUGAAUAUAUAUUUAAGAAAAAAGCAUCAGGGGCGACCUAUGUAAUGGCUGAACAAUAUGAAUAAUAGCAAACCUAACUAAUGGAUGAACAAUUCUAUGUCAGUACUUACCCAGUUAUAAGAAACACUGCCCAUGUGCCUUUCCUGCCAAUGUAGAAUAUCAUAUGCCCAAGAGGAUUUGAUCUUUGGUCACAAUUCAGCUCCCUAAUCAUGUAUCAUUUGUCAUGCAUUGAAUACCUGAAUAUCAAUACCUAUAUGAAUCUACAAAAUAUAGGCAUGUACAAAAGUUAUGAUCGGAAAAAAUAGACAUAUACUGGCACACUUAACUAACAAAGACUCGCUGGACUAGUUAGUGUAAAAAUUAAGGAUAUGGAAUAAAUAAGAAUGCUGCGUCAUGAGGAGGAGAUAAGGAAAUGGACACCUUAGUGGACUGAACCAGGGGAGGAUUUAUCAAGUAAGCGAAUGGGUUGCCUGACUUUCUGUGAUUAUGUCAUAAGCUAUACAUUUCCAUCUGCCCCUGAAGCUGCACGCCAAUAAAGAAAGUUAAUCCCUUACACGAUCAGCCAAGGCAAAUUAAUGAUUUUAACACAAUCUUAUCAAUCUGCGCAUCUAUUGUCAACAGUUCAAAACCUGACCUGUAGGACAGUUUCAUACCAACAUCAUGGUUACUGCAUUGUUUAGAUACUGAUAGACUGCUAGCUGACAUCUUGCAAGCACAAAAAUUGCAAGGGAAAAAAAAAUCAUAUGAUGAGAUACAGGUGGAACAAAUAAUACUAACCAUUGCAUGGAAAAAGGGGCCAUGGACUCAAUAAGGAGCUAGAUGGUUUCAUGAUUAUUAUUGUACGCAUUGUACAUAUUAUUGAGUAAAUUUUGCAAUGGAUAGUAAAAAAGAGAAUCUGAUCAAGAGAAAGAUUAGAGAAGAGAUAACAAGUAGUUCGUUCAAUUUGCAAGAAUUUUAAAACAUACAGAUCUUCUAUAUUUUUUAUUUGGGAAUGAAUAUCAUCUACGGUAUAGGUACUAAUAUAAGGAGAAGCAAUAUCAGCAGCAAUGGCAACAGCAAUCAUCGGCAGCAGCAAUAGCAACCAGCGGCGAUAGCAAACAAUCAGCGUCAGCGGUAAUCAACUUCUAUCUACUGUAUAGGAAGUUAGGAACUAAGGAGCAGCAUCGGCCUAGUAAUCAGCGGCAGUAGCAAACAAUCAGUGUCACAUGGCUGUACUUUCAAUCAGCACGGACGCACCACACAGAGACAUCAGACAUGCACACGAGCCAACCACGCACGCAGCUGUAGACAAACGCACGCGAGACCACCAGAGCUUGAGCACGCCGGGUGCCAAAAUAAAUCCAAAAGGGGCACCACCGCCGCCGAAGGCUUCGCGAGCCACAAGAACCACCCGCACGCGCGGGAUCCAAUUGGCAGUUGAGGAACACGGCCGGAGUUCCACCCUAUCCUACUCUCACCUCGGGUCCGUCUCCACUUCCGGCCAGCACCGAGACAAGGGAGCAUCACCCUACACACAGCUUGUUUCAGAUCCAUGCCCGAGCCUGCAGCAGCGACGCGGAGCAGUGGCCUCCGAAACAGAGGCGAGCGAGCUGCGCCGACAAUCCAUGUCGACUAGUACUGCAGGACGCGUGCAGUGGCGUGGAGGACGUCGCCAAGGAAGAAUAUAGGACGAGUGCACUGAGGGG